CCUCCUCAAGAAUCAGGAUUUGACAUAUUUAUCGGAUCUGAAUUGGAGCAGAGCUGGACUGAGAUGCCGUCUCCAGUUUGGAGAACUAUGCUCAAACUUGGAUAAAAAGUUUGCACGGAAGUUGUAUGGCUUUUUCAGAUUUGGUUUCUGGACAUCCUGUAAGAAAAAGAAGCAGAAGAAGAAGAAGAAGUCUUUGUUUGUAGGAAACAUCCCUCUGGAAGAGGUGCGAUGGAGGGACGGCCGUGGGCGCAUUGGAAGGGCAGCUGGCAAGAAGACAAAGACGCCACUAAGCUGUGGCAUUCGUCCCUGUUUAGAACAUCAUUGAACUUGACAGCACCUGUUUAGGAGCAAAGGUGA